UUGGCCUAUUAAUAGCAGUGGAGAGGGAGGGGAUGCUUAACCCAACGGAGCAAGUGAAUAGAAAAUAUAUAAAAAAUGAAAGCAUUAUUUGCGAUACUAUGCAUUCUCCUCGCUUCCGCUCUCUUUAUCUCCACUUUCACUAUGGCUCGGGAAUCGAUCGAGAAGGAAAACAUCUAUGCUCGUCGACUAGGUCAGAGCCCUCAACCUCCUGUUUGCCACUGUCCCAGGUGUAGCCCAGGCUGCCAUCCUAUUCCGUCUCGAUCUUGAAUGCUGUGGGAAAACAAAGCCAUAUUGGUGAAACUGUAAUGAAGUAUAUGGAGAUUCCCUAAGAUAUGUAUUGUCUGUGUUUUUUAUGCUAUUUCUCUCUCUAUAAAUUGUUCUUUUCAAAGUUUUUAGAUUCAAACUAUUAAUUAUACAGUCUGUACGUUAUCGAUAAUUAAAAAUAAUUCUAAAUAAAUAUAAUCUUA